UACAGAGGGUGCAAGCGUUGUUCGGAAUCAUUGGGCGUAAAGCGCGUGUAGGCGGUCCGGUAAGUCCGCUGUGAAAGUCGGGGGGCUCAACCCUCGGAUGCCGGUGGAUACUGUCGGGCUUGAGUACGGAAGAGGCGAGUGGAAUUCCUGGUGUAGCGGUGAAAUGCGCAGAUAUCAGGAGGAACACCAAUUGCGAAGGCAGCUCGCUGGGACGGUUACUGACGCUGAGACGCGAAAGCGUGGGGAGCAAACAGG
rnacentral:rRNA from 1 species